GAGCGCAACCCUUAUCCUGGUUGGCCAGCAGUUGGGGUGGGAACUCCAGGGAGACUGCCGGUGAUAAACCGGAGGAAGGUGGGGACGACGUCAAGUCAUCCCCCCCCCCCCGAGUAGGGCUACACACGUGCUACAAUGGCGCAUACAGAGGGCGGCCAACUUGCGAAAGUGAGCGAAUCCCAAAAAGUGCGUCGUAGUCCGGAUUGGAGUCUGCAACUCGACUCCAUGAAGUCGGAAUCGCUAGUAAUCGUGGAUCAGAAUGCCACGGUGAAUACGUUCCCGGGCCUUGUACACACCGCC
rnacentral:rRNA from 1 species